UGCCUUAUAAUAUCUGGGGUUGAUUGUUGCUCUUGUAAAGCGAAGGGGGUGGUGAAUAACCCACCAUAAGGUAU
rnacentral:tRNA from 2 species